AUUGAACGCUGGCGGCAGGCUUAACACAUGCAAGUCGAGCGAGCGGCGGACGGGUUAGUAAUGACUGGGAAACUGCCUGAUGGAGGGGGAUAACUACUGGAAACGGUAGCUAAUACCGCAUACAACCAGCUGUGCCCAGAUGGGAUUAGCUAGGAGGUGGGGUAACGGCUAACCUCGGCGACGAUCCCUAGCUGGUGUGAGAGGAUGACCAGCCACACUGGAACUGAGACACGGCCCAGACUCCUACGGGAGGCAGCAGUGGGGAAUAUUGCACAAUGGGCGCAAGCCUGAUGCAGCCAUGCCGCGUGUGUGAAGAAGGCCUUCGGGUUGUAAAGCACUUUCAGCAAGGAGGCGUUACUCGCAGAAGAAGCACCGGCUAACUCCGUGCCAGCAGCCGCGGUAAUUC
rnacentral:rRNA from 1 species